rnacentral:lncRNA from 1 species
ACGAGACCUUCCACGUGAGGCUUUCAAGGGAGGUUUCAUUUUAGAGAAGAUUGCAAUGCCCCUUUCCACUGGCCACCUCAACCUAAUCAACACAAACAUCGACAACAACCCUUCGGUUACCUUCAACUACUUCGGCCACCCCCGCGACCUACGCAGAUGCGUCAAUGGGAUCCGGAUGGCUGCCAAGGUUAUACAAUCGGACCGAUUCACGAACUUCACCAAGUGUGACAAACCGACCGUAGAGAAGCUUCUUAACAUGAGUGUCAAGGCUAACAUUAACCUUAUA